GAUGAACGCUGGCGGCGUGCCUAAUACAUGCAAGUCGAACGAAACUUCUUUAUCACCGAGUGCUUGCACUCACCGAUAAAGAGUUGAGUGGCGAACGGGUGAGUAACACGUGGGCAACCUGCCCAAAAGAGGGGGAUAACACUUGGAAACAGGUGCUAAUACCGCAUAACCAUAGUUACCGCAGGGUAACUAUGUAAAAGGUGGCUAUACUACCGCUUUUGGAUGGGCCCGCGGCGCAUUAGCUAGUUGGUAGGGUAAAGGCUUACCAAGGCAAUGAUGCGUAGCCGAAUUGAGAGGUUGAUCGGCCACAUUGGGACUGAGACACGGCCCAAACUCCUACGGGAGGCAGCAGUAGGGAAUCUUCCACAAUGGGCGAAAGCCUGAUGGAGCAACGCCGCGUGGGUGAAGAAGGUCUUCGGAUCGUAAAACCCUGUUGUUAGAGAAGAAAGUGCGUGAGAGUAACUGUUCACGUUUCGACGGUAUCUAACCAGAAAGCCACGGCUAACUACGUG
rnacentral:rRNA from 1 species